UACGUAGGUGGCGAGCGUUGUCCGGAUUUACUGGGCGUAAAGGGCGUGCAGGCGGUUUGUUAAGUGCAGAGUGAAAGCUCCCGGCUCAACUGGGAGAGGUCUUUGCAUACUGGCAAACUCGAGGGAGGCAGAGGAAAGUGGAAUUCCCGGUGUAGUGGUGAUAUGCGUAGAUAUCAGGAGGAACACCGGUGGUGUAGACGGCUCUCUGGACCGUAACUGACGCUGAGACACGAAAGCGUGGGUAGCAAACAGG
rnacentral:rRNA from 1 species